GACGAACGCUGGCGGCGUGCUUAACACAUGCCAGUCGAACGCUGAAGCUCAGCUUUUGUUGGGUGGAUGAGUGGCGAACGGGUGAGUAACACGUGAGUAGCCUGCCCCCUUCUUUGGGAUAACGCCCGGAAACGGGUGCUAAUACUGGAUAUUCACUGGUCUUCGCAUGGGGGUUGGUGGAAAGGGUUUUUCUGGUGGGGGAUGGGCUCGCGGCCUAUCAGCUUGUUGGUGGGGUGAUGGCCUACCAAGGCUUUGACGGGUAGCCGGCCUGAGAGGGUGACCGGUCACAUUGGGACUGAGAUACGGCCCAGACUCCUACGGGAGGCAGCAGUGGGGAAUAUUGCACAAUGGGCGCAAGCCUGAUGCAGCGACGCCGCGUGAGGGAUGGAGGCCUUCGGGUUGUGAACCUCUUUCGCUCAUGGUCAAGCCGCAACAAUGGUUGUGGUGAGGGUAGUGGGUAAAGAAGCGCCGGCUAACUACGUG
rnacentral:rRNA from 1 species